UACGUAGGGUGCGAGCGUUGUCCGGAAUUAUUGGGCGUAAAGAGCUCGUAGGCGGUUUGUUGCGUCGGCCGUGAAAACCUGCAGCUUAACUGUGGGCGUGCGGUCGAUACGGGCAUCACUGGAGUUCGGCAGGGGAGACUGGAAUUCCUGGUGUAGCGGUGAAAUGCGCAGAUAUCAGGAGGAACACCGGUGGCGAAGGCGGGUCUCUGGGCCGAUACUGACGCUGAGGCGCGACAGCGUGGGGAGCAAACAGG
rnacentral:rRNA from 1 species